GGACCCCUUUGCAAGCAUUUUCCAUAACAUCCCACCCGCCAAAAUCCCUAAAUACACUCCCCCAAAUCCGUAUCCUCUUGAUCGAGUGGAAAACCCCCCCUCCUUGUUAUAAUCGGACCGUUCGUGGGAAUUCUCAGCAACGCCAUGUCUAAACGGAUUCUUUGCAAAUUUUUUGCUCAUGGUGCAUGUCUGAAAGGGGAAUGCUGUGAGUAUUCGCAUGACUGGAAGGCCCCACCAAAUAAUAUAUGUACCUUCUACCAAAAGGGGGUUUGUGCUUAUGGAAGUCGAUGUAGAUACGAUCACAUUAAAGUUUCUCGGUCACAACCUCCAGCUUCAUCUUCAUCAGCAGAUCUCGCUUUUGCCAAAGUACUUCCUUCGGCUACUGCAACAUUUGGCGUGGGCAUUGCCACUUGUUCUGUUUCUUCAGCUUCUAGUGGGCCACUCGAUCCUCCCAACAGACCUGCAUGGGGGGAGAAUUCAAUGCGUCAUGAUAUAAUCCACAAUGAUGAUGAUUUUGCUGAUGUUGGGAAUUUUGAUCCUGCUGAUCGACCGAUAUGCUCCUUUGCUGCUGCUGGUGAAUGUCCACGUGGUGUAAAUUGUCCUCAGAUUCAUGGGGAUCUUUGUCCUACCUGCAGGAAACAUUGCUUGCAUCCUUUUAGGCCUCAUGAAAGAGAAGAACACUUGAAAACAUGUGAUAAGAGGCAGAAGCACUUAGAAGCACUGAAAGGUAGUCAAGAAAUAGAGUGCAGUGUUUGCCUUGAGCGCGUCCUCUCAAAGCCUACAGCAGCGGAACGUAAAUUUGGGAUAUUAUCCGAGUGCAAUCAUCCAUUCUGUGUAUCAUGUAUCAGGAAUUGGCGUAGCAGUUCUCCAGCUUCUAGCUCGGAUGCUAAUUCUGCAUUAAGAACCUGUCCUAUUUGUCGAAAGCUUUCAUACUUUGUCAUUCCUAGCGUCAUUUGGUAUUCCUCGGAAGAAGAAAAGCAGGAGAUUGUUGAUAGCUACAAGGCAAAGCUGAGGUCUAUUGAUUGUAAGCACUUCAACUUUGGGAAUGGGACCUGCCCAUUUGGAACCAGUUGUUUUUACAAGCACGCCUAUCGCGAUGGUCGACUUGAGGAAGUGGUUAUUCGCCAUCUAGGGUCUGAAGAUGGAAAUACAGUUAUCGCAAAAGAUAUCAGGCUCUCCGACUUUCUCACUAAUUUGCAGAUAAGGUGAUUAAAGCUUCAGAAAUUUCAGGGAGUGCUGAGGGCUUUUGCUAGCAUGCAUCCAGCUAAAGUUUCGAAAAUGAUGAACAAGGCGUUGAAUAAGAUGAGAUAUUGCAAUAAUUCUCCCCUUGAAUGCAAGCAUCGAAUUCCAGGUUUCAAGAUCGAGGUGGGUUGUUCCCAUUAUACCAAAAUUUUAAUGUAUUCAUGACCAAAAGUUACCUACGGAUCUCUUGUAUUGAUAUUUUGGGGUUACUGAUAGUCGGGAGUUUGAGGUGUAAACUGUCUAUAUAUAGAUUGCUGAGACGAGGGAUCAUACAAGAAACAUUCAUGCAAUAUGGCCAGUUUAUAGACCUCCAUAAAAGUAAAAUUCAUCUUGUGGGGCAGAAGGUACUAUGAGUACAAAUGCUGUUGGUUGAGUCAAUUCAGAUAAUUUUUUUGGCCGA